GGCGCCGUCGCCAAGUGGGAAGGCUAGGGUCUGCAAAACCCUUAAUCGGCGGUUCGAUUCCGCCCGGCGCCUCCA
rnacentral:tRNA from 1 species